GGUUAAGCGACUAAGCGUACACGGUGGAUGCCCUGGCAGUCAGAGGCGAUGAAGGGCGUGCUAAUCUGCGAUAAGCGCCGGUAAGGUGAUAUGAACCGUUAUAACCGGCGAUACCCGAAUGGGGAAACCCAGUGUGAUUCGUCACACUAUCAUUAACUGAAUCCAUAGGUUAAUGAGGCGAACCGGGGGAACUGAAACAUCUAAGUACCC
rnacentral:rRNA from 1 species